AUUUUUUAUGGUUUUAAUAUUAGUUGAUUAUAAUAACCCUGUUGCUAGCACUGGGUUACUAGGACACUGUAUCCAGCCAUCUUUAUUCUUGAGAGAAUCAUGUCAGCAUUCUUCAUGUCCAGUUUAACAGAAUGUGAUGUGAUUCUAAGAUGCAUUAAAACUCACCUCGACCUUAUUGUACACAGGCAUUCUGAACAUUUGGCUUUCAAGCAUUUAUGUCAUCAUGUUGUAAGGGGGUAUUAAUAGCGCAUAGCAUCUGCGUGCAGGUUGAGUAUGUCUCCACAGCUACUCUCUUUGCCGCUGAGGUGGGGACAGACGGAGCGAGGGGAAACAUUCGGUAAUUGAAAUGCGCGGCGUGUUGCCGGCUGUAGGAGGGAGAUUUGUCAGCCCUUCUCUCUUCUGACAGCAGUUUAAUCCGAGCGGGACGAAGCCGAGCCGAGUGGGAGUGGAUUCAUUUGUAUGGCGCGGCGAAGGGGUGUCACAAGGAAAUGGAGAAUGCACCAUUGGACCCCAUCAAACCCACAAAAGGAAAUGGGAAGCACAUAUCUGUGUUACAACAGUCCUGUCUGGUCAUUUUAUACAAAAGUUGUACACCUUAAGAUACUCAAGCUCGUCGUAGAUUAUUUUAUUUUUAUUUAUUUUUGGCCUUUUAUAUAAAUAACAGUUUAAUAUAUCAGAGUAUGAGCACACACUUGUAUUAGGUUGCGGUCACAUUAGGGAAAUUUCGCAAUGGAUGAAACACAGCUCACAUAGAAAUCACUUUCAAACCAAGUAACUUUCUGUUGCUUAGUCUCGCACAGCCAGACCUUCAGACUGAAGGUCUGGAAUUCAUGGCAGCUUUCAUUGGCCAAGGCCCGCCCAUGAGGCCGUUUGACCAACAUGUCAAACAACCAAUCACAGUUCGUUUCGUUCAGCGUCACAUUUCAAGGCAUGGAAAUGUCGCCAAAAUAACAGACCGGUGUGUAAAACUCUCUGACAUAUUUUAGAGAUUCUAUGCCACAAACUUUAAAUAUUUCACAUAUUUUUGAAAAACCAAUGUUUAGUUGAUACUAAUAGAUGCUCGUCAUCACAGUUGUAAACACGGCGGCUUUCUUCUUUCGUGAGGGGGUUUGGCAUCACAGCAUCUUUGUUUCCAGGCGGAGCGUUAAAGAACGCGAUACACUCGUCUCGCGGAAAACCUGUAGAAUUCAACCAAUCCAAUGACGACUUCGACACUCCUGAAGUGUUUCCACUUUUGUGUCCCAUAUGCAUCAGACGUUUAGCCAACGGUCCUUGGGCUUGACGUCCGAGGCUGAGACUAUCUGUUGCUCAACAUGACAAAUUCACGUGACCAACUUAAUUUGUGUGAGGAAUCUUGUGCCCUCACUCGAAAUUCCCAAUCACAUGGAUUCCUAUAUUAAUGACUGGAUUUCAAGCCCAAAAAUUCAUGAACAAAGGUAAAUGUAACUGCACCUUUACAUGGGCACUUUUGAAUGGCUAUCAAUUGAGAAAGCAUCUGCCAGCUAAUUUCUGAAGCUCACCAGCCAAACUUGCACAACGCAGCAGCAAUGAUUGAGCAUUGCAACUUUUACCAACUUUAAUUGCCUUAGAAUGAAAGUCCUCCACUCAGAGUGAUUGAGAGGGCAUAAUGUGCGCUGCGAACAGCUGUGAACGCUGUCUGCCGAGCCUGUCAGACUCACCGCAGGAAGUCAUAUCACGCCCACAAUCACGCGUGUGUUCCGACAGUCAUCCCUGAUGAUGCGAACACUCGAUAUCAACCAAACAUCGAUUGCAGCACACCCACCCCUGCUUGUUUUCAACUCAGAUUUGAAUUCUCAUGUCAGUUUCAUAUUUACUUUAUUUGAGUGCCAGUCAGUGGGCAGUGUUUUUAUUAUGUCAUUUGAUCUGGCCACCCGUCUGUGAAGCCAAUACCUGAUCAGCCCAUAUAAUGUAGCAGCAUCAAUCUUCUCCCUGAUCUGAGUGCAUGAUAACGCUGUAUUGAUUUGUGCUGGGCAUCACUGGCUUUCCGUAUAUGGAUGUAUCAGCAACUUCAGGCACUUAAAUAUCCCAGGGGUAGAUUUUUGUUUUUAUUUAUUUAUUAAAACAUCACUUAUAUUUUCGCAACUUUUGUAAGUUUUGCUGCAUCAUUUUUAUUUAAAAAAAAACAUAUAUAAUUUUAACUGUGAUCAUAUAAAUAAAGAGCAAAAUACAUCUUAUUAAUAAUUAAUUUUUUUCUAUAUAUU